rnacentral:pre_miRNA from 1 species
AUAACACUCUAGACCGUCGAUCUACUGAGCAAUUUCACUUGCUCGAUGGAAGAUCUUCCCUUUGUCGU